GCUAACCCAGGGUACCAUCUGUGGGGGGCAACGUGCUUGCUGAAUGGCACUCCGGCUGCGUGGUUGCCAAUGCGGACUCCGAUUUCCCUGGCCGAGAGACAAAGCCUGUGGCCCUAACGUCCGUCUCCGGGCCCGGGUGGCUUUUUGCUCUGUGGUGUUGGCAGAGUAUUCUGGCCUGGCACGGGUUAAGAGGCCACUGCGACUCUUGGCACCGUGCGUCCUUUCUCCCCCUCCAGUGCGACGCUGGCGAACCCUGCGCGGUGCGGAAAGGGGCCCGCAUUGGGCGCCUCUGUACCUGCCCCCGUGGGACGUCUUGCAACUUGUACAUCCUCAAGUGCUUGUGAAGGAGGAGCCGUCGAGGGGGGGCCUAGGGGGGCCUUUGGAAAGCAGGCAUUUGCUCACAGGGACUCUUUCAGUGAACGUUGUUUCUGAUGAACUUCAGGUGAACGGAACUCCUACCGCAUCAUCCAUUAUUAUCUCUCUGGGCGGACAGAGGCCUCUGAUUGCACCUGCCCAGCACAGACUGUGAAACGCAGCCCANCGGCUCCUGUGGCGGGCUGUUCCACUGGCCANNGCUUGUUGCGACGCUUCCCCUGGNCAAGACNCGUGCCCAGUGCUGCUCUGACGAANGGCAGCAAAUGCGGGGGAGGGUGGCGCUGCCCCAGCUGCCAGCAUAAGGAGGAAACCCCGCCCCCAUAAUUCUGAUGUCUCUACUCUCCUAAGAAGACCUCCUCUGCCUUUUGCCCGGGCACCUGAGGAGCAGAAGCGUCUCUUCUCCUUCAGCAGCGAGACUCCCGUGUUGCUGUCCUGGUAAGGGCGGAUCGGGGCCUUUACGCGCCUGGACGUGCAGCACUGCGUUUGUACAGCACCAGGCAAAUACACACUCAGUCUACGUGCUGCUGCGUUCCGGCUGUGUGGUUCUUGCGUGUGUGG
rnacentral:lncRNA from 1 species